rnacentral:rRNA from 1 species
UACGAAGGGGCUAGCGUUGCUCGGAAUCACUGGGCGUAAAGGGUGCGUAGGCGGGUCUUUAAGUCAGGGGUGAAAUCCUGGAGCUCAACUCCAGAACUGCCUUUGAUACUGAAGAUCUUGAGUUCGGGAGAGGUGAGUAGGAACUGGCGAGUGUAGAGGUGAAAUUCGUAGAUAUUCGCAAGAACACCAGUGGCGAAGGCGGCUCACUGGCCCGAUACUGACGCUGAGGCACGAAAAGCGUGGGGAGCAAACAGGG